CACGUAGGGGGCGAGCGUUGUUCGGAAUUACUGGGCGUAAAGGGCAUGUAGGCGGCUUGGUAAGCCUGGCGUGAAAGUCUGCAGCUUAACUGUAGGGAUGCGUUGGGAACUGCUUAGCUUGAGUUACGGAGAGGGAGCUGGAAUUCCUGGUGUAGGGGUGAAAUCUGUAGAUAUCAGGAAGAACACCGAUGGCGAAGGCAAGCUUCUGGCCGACAACUGACGCUGAGGUGCGAAAGUGUGGGGAUCAAAC
rnacentral:rRNA from 1 species